rnacentral:rRNA from 1 species
UACGAAGGGGGGCUAGCGUUGCUCGGAAUUACUGGGCGUAAAGCGCACGUAGGCGGCUUUCUAAGUCGGGGGUGAAAUCCUGGAGCUCAACUCCAGAACUGCCUUCGAUACUGGAAAGCUCGAGUCCGGGAGAGGUGAGUGGAACUGCGAGUGUAGAGGUGAAAUUCGUAGAUAUUCGCAAGAACACCAGUGGCGAAGGCGGCUCACUGGCCCGGGUACUGACGCUGAGGUGCGAAAGGCGUGG